GUUGGGAGGGCGCAGCACGCGCGCACACGCCGGGAACCCGGGAGGUCCGGGGAGGGCUGCGCGCCCCCGACUCACCUCCAUCCUUCCUUCCUACCGCUCUUCCGUGGGGCCCGAGGCUCACGAACCCGCGUUUCAGGCAGGAGACAGUGGGUUCCAGCCUCCACGGCCUGACAGAGCCACAUCGACGCUCAGCAGGUUGUAAACAGGAGACAACUCAAGAGGUUAAGUCACCUAUCCAAGACCACACAAUCAGAAUUCGGACGGCGCGUCCCUCUCUCCGGGAAUGAAGCAGAUGGUGGGAUCACAGGAUGAGUCAGAGGGGACCCGUGGAGAAGUCCAGUCUCUACGUCCCUCAUGCUUCUCCUGUCAUCUCACUCGGGGCCACUGUGGGCCACACGGAGCCAGGUGGUGACCGACCUGGGACUCAAGCCCCUCUCCCCUGGUUAGAGUUGAGUCUCUCUCUCCCACCACCACCGGCCCACCCAGCUUUGGGAGAAGCGGACAGAGAAGGACAGGGGAGCUGCUGGGGGUGCACUGGAGGUGGGAUGGGGGGCGCGGGCUGGGCCGCCAGUGCCUGGAUGUCCUGCCCACACGGAGCUCCCGGCAGGUGUUUGCUGCCUCACAGACCACACCCCAGGGCGGAGUUUGGGCCGGGGCACCCCACUGACGGAGGGCACAGACACCCCGCCGCAUGCCUGGUGGGCACGCAGGCCCCCGGAGCAGUGGGGCAGGGCUGUCCAGACUGCCAGCUCUUGAGUCACACCCGAGUCGGAGUCCUGCAGAGACGCCUAAACUCUCUGAGUCUCAGCUUCUCAUCUAAGGUGGGACAGUAAUACCUCCCCGGCCUGAACCCAGAUUGCUCACCUCUGCCUGCCCGGUGCCUGGUCCUCCCCAGGAGCUCACGUCUGCCUGUGAAGUGGAGCAUUGGGUGAGGGAGGUGGGGACGUGGGUCCUGGUGCCCGACACCUCCCAGGCACCCUCACCCAGGCCUCCUGGCCCACAGGCGCCGUCUGGGAGGGAACGCACAUCUUCACUGGACAAAGGAUGCCUCACCGUUCUCUAACGUGGGUGUGCGAGUUCGCUCUCCACCAGCGGGGCACAAGCAGGUCCCAUUGCUCCGCAUCCUCUUGGCGCCAUCAGGCGUUUGAUUUUUUCCGGCCAUGAGGUGUGUUCAUUUGAUACAACUGUGGAAUCACAGCCCCGUGGACGAAGCUCACAAGCCUCACGCGGAGAAGGAAAAGCCAGGGGCAGAACCUAAACGUUCAAAACCCUGCAAAACAGUGUGUCCUGUGGACAUAGUCAAAGUAUGUCUGGAAAGCAAGCAGAGGAUAAAACAAGGAGAGGACGGCGGUCCCCUCUGUGGAGAAGGUCAGAGAUACAGGGGCUCGAGAGGUGUGCCACUGCGUGUAAUAGAAUUCUUGAUGACAGGGGCGCCUGGGUGGCUCAGCCGUUAAACGUCUGCCUUCGGCUCGGGUCGUGGUCCCAGGGUCCUGGGAUCGAGCCCUGCAUCGGGCUCCCUGCUCGGCGGGAAGCCUGCUUCUCCCUCUCCCACUCCCCCUGCUUGUGUUCCCUCUCUCGCUGUCUC